rnacentral:rRNA from 1 species
UACGUAGGGUGCGAGCGUUUAAUCGGAAUUACUGGGCGUAAAGCGUGCGCAGGCGGUUCGUUGUGUCGGCGGUGAAAGCCCCGGGCUCAACCUGGGAAUGGCCGUUGAAACUGGCGAACUGGAGUGUGGCAGGAGGGGGGUGGAAUUCCGCGUGUAGCAGUGAAAUGCGUAGAGAUGCGGAGGAACACCGAUGGCGAAGGCAGCCCCCCUGGGCUGACACUGACGCUGAGACGCGAAAGCGUGGGGAGCAAACAGG